rnacentral:rRNA from 1 species
GGAUUGUAGUCUGCAACCCGACUACAUGAAGCUGGAAUCGCUAGUAAUCGCGAAUCAGAAUGUCGCGGUGAAUACGUUCCCGGGUCUUGUACACACCGCCCGUCACACCAUGGGAGUCGGAAAUGCCCGAAGUCAGUGACCCAACCGUAAGGAGGGAGCUGCCGAAGGUGGAGCCGGUAACUGGGGUGAAGUCGUAACAAGGUAGC